rnacentral:rRNA from 1 species
CUACGGGCGGCACCAGUGAGGAAUAUUGCACAAUGGAGGAAACUCUGAUGCAGCAACGCCGCGUGGAGGAUGACGCAUUUCGGUGUGUAAACUCCUUUUAUAUGUCAAGAAAAUGACGGUAGCAUAUGAAUAAGCACCGGCUAACUCCGUGCCAGCAGCCGCGGUAAUACGGAGGGUGCAAGCGUUACGCGGAAUCACUGGGCGUAUAGGACGCGUAGGCGGGAUAUCAAGUCAGGUGUGAAAUCCUACAGCUUAACGGUAGAACUGCACUUGAAACUGGUAACCUAGAGUAUGGGAGGGGGAGAUGGAAUUAGUGGUGUAGGGGUAACAUCCGUAGAUAUCACUAGGAAUACCUAAAGCGAAGGCGAUCUCCUGGAACAUAACUGACGCUAAGGCGUGAAAGCGUGGGGAGCAAACAGGAUUAGAUACCCUAGUAGUC